AAUGAUAUGCCUGAACUCAAAAGGAUUAUUUUGAUAGAAUAAAUUAUGCAUAUAUUAUGAUGCUUUCAUUA
rnacentral:tRNA from 1 species